UGGACUAUCUUGAGGCCCCCAGCCGUGAGGAAUCCCGAGCCACAUGAAGAGGCCAUUUUUAGGCACCCUGGGCUACUGUCCUAGCUGGGGUCCCUCAAGCAAUUUCGCUUCUAAGAAUAAUCCUUCUCCCAAAGACCCAGUUCCUCACCUGCCACAGGUUUACAGUAUGACUUCAGCUCAGUUCUUCCUUUUCUCUCAUGGUUCAACUAAGACUGGCUUCUAACAAAGACUAAGCUGAGACACAUUAGUCUCUCUGCUAGUAAGCAGUCAAUAUUUGUGGUAUCCUAGGACUGGAUACCAUAGGCAAAUGCAAGAGGCUUGGACUGACCUCAGGCAUGAACAAAGGUGGCCAAAUAUUGCUGGUCCUUGGAGCUCUCUGCACCUUAUCUGGGAGGCAGUAAGAUAGCCAGAAGCACAGUUUCUGAAGCCAGAAUACCUGCCUUUGAAUCUCAGCUCUGCAAUUUAUAUCGCUGUGUGACCAUUGGCAACUGACUUAACUUCUCUAUGCCUUGGAUUCCUCUGCUGGAAACUAAGAAUCUUAAUAGGAACAUUUGCCUUUUUUGUGCUAU